AUAAGAAUGAAGAUAUAUUUUGAAUGUAGGCGAAACAAAUGGAAAGGCGAAAGUGAAUACUGUCGCCAAUUUUGCCCCAAAUAGCCCCAAUGCAGCAGGCGCAACAAAGAUGAAACUAGUUGUACUCGAGCAAGCGUUCAUAAAUGACCGACCGACCGACCGCCUAUAGUGCGUCGCGUUGCGAGUGUGUGAACGCAGAAAAUAAGAAACAGAGAAAAUGUCAAGAUACACGAAAAAUCGAUUAUGUCAAGAAGCUGUUCGAGUUUUCCUUGAUAAAAAAAAAUUAGCAAUUGAACGAAAUGUGAACUCCUUUUGAACUAAUACAUCGGUUUAUACUCAAAAACAAUGGCAAAACUAAUUAAAAUAAGGCAAUCAACAAAAACCAAGAUGGCAGCGAAUUUGGAGUAUACGGCGAAUUGCGUAGAUGAGGGAAUGGAUGAAUUGCGAGAUACACACACAGAACGGAACUAUUUCAAAAAAGAAAUGUCAAGAAGGGCGAUACAACAACAACACCAAUUAAACAUUAACAGUGCAACAGAAGGUGGCGGGUUGUCGCAUGCUACAGCAUACAUAAUUAUGCACAUAUUUACGAGUUGUUGCUUCCGUUCCCUCAAAGCGAUUUCAACCACCACCAAUGGUUGCAUUAAUAUAAUUUUAAAAUUUCGCGGUGCGGUGCUACCACUCGCUUUAUCAUCAAUUAUUUCACAUUGAGGUAGAUAAGUAAAACGAUUUGCUUUGGUGGGGAAGAUGAAUGAAUGACAUGUAUUAAACCGCCUCCUACUGAAGUGGCCAAUGUAAUACUUAAAUCACAUUAAUAUGGCUCAUCCCAUUCACGUCAACGCUGAACCACAAAUAAAUAUGUAGUUGACUUUAUAGAGUGAUCUCCCAGGUUUGUGCGGCUGAAUGGCUUACUAUGUAUCGGCAUUUCAUUACAUUAAGAGCAUUUUCCCUUUUUGCUAAGUGAUCUUUAGGCCACAGUUGGAAAUGCCAAAAACAAUGGAAUGGUAAAAUCGAUUGCCAAACCUUUCGAUACCCAAAUAGUAGGGAGAGCCUGCAUAAAUUUUUACACCGAUAUCUUUCGUUAGCAGCUCGUUGUUGUAAUAGCAUGCACAUUAUCCAUACAUGUUUGGGGAAUGCUGCUGGCCGGAUAUAAAUACCGACCAUUCCGGUACGUAGAACCGAAAGUCGAGAAAAAUGCUAACACAAUUUCAGCCAUCCGUACUAGCGCUGACUUAAGCCAGAUCUAUUAAAUUAGAAUUAAUUAUUCUUUCUUGACCACAAAAAUUAUAUUUUCUGUCCACACACCUUAAAUGGUUGAAAUUUGGCUUCUUGCAUUGUCAAAAGAAAUAUCAGUUUUCUUUAAUAACUUAGCACAGAAAGUUAAAAGCAAUAUGUAGGCGAUUAUUGGUCGACAUAUAAGAUUGCUUCGGAGAGCUGUUAUUUAGCCCUGGCUAAAGACCCCUUUGUCGCCGGUUGAAUGGUUCUUCUUAUUCUUUAUACAAAUACAUGGUACUUCAUACCCGAAAAAUAACACCAUUUUAUAAGUUAAUUAUUUGAAAAUUAUAGAAGUCAUUAAUAUUAGGGAAUCAAGUAAUAUUCCAUGAAUGGAGAUUAGGUAAUAAAUUUGGCUAAAUUAUUAAAAGUCAACUCUGGUACCGGCAACCGCCGGUUGAAGGUUGAAUGGUCUGUGCGGAAGCAUAAUUCAGUUAGAAACUCACUGUGGGCACGAAACACUAAGAAGGCGGCCGCCUCUCAGUGGUCAAUGGCAAGCCUACGGGUGUAUUUCUGCUAUGUAAAAUCUCAUAAAAACCUAUCUAUAAUUCAGAGGCGGCCAAAAAAGAGCCUUUAUUUGUAAAUUGGAGGAAGAGCUCGGCCAAACACCCAACAAAGAAUAUAAGCGCAAUUUAUACUAGAAAUCAGCUCUGAAACUAAAAUUUUGGAAUUAUUGGAUAAAUAAUUGAGUAGAAACACUAAGUUUUAUUAUAGACUUAUGAAAUACUGAUCAUAAAACUCUUUGCGAUGGAUUGCCGCCGAAGUGUCUGAAUUGCAUAUAUUUAAUACUCUUUUUUUAGCGUUAACCGAAGUUAUUAAGCUAACCUGUACUUGUAUUCCUUUCCUUCUUUAUUAAUUUAAAGCUGAUGCCAGUCAACAUACAAUUAGUAAAUACAUACAUGUGUGUAUUGAAAUGAAGAUGUAUUCAAAGCGUUUGCUUUUGCAUCACGCUUAUGAGUUUUGUUAUCGCUACUAAUAUCGCAUUAAAGAAUAUAUAGUAUAUGCUGAUACAUAAUUUAAAUGGGAGAAGUGUAUGAAAUGCCGCCAUCGUCAAAACAGAUCAACAAAGUGUAUUAUGUGCGACAACAUUGGCAACCCUCGGGUGGCCUACUGCGUUGUUACGUUGCUACUGCUUUAAAGGUACAUAUUCAUAUAUGCCUACACACGAUUCGCCCUGUAUACGUACCAUACAUGUAUGCGCCCGCGUGUAUGUAUUGCUGUACGUGUGUGCGUUUGGGUUAUACACGCGCGUUCAUUUGUAUGUUCAACGCGUACUCAUGGCGGAUAAAUUUUGUGACAAAUUAAUAAAUUCUUUAUAUAAACUCGAUCAUGAGGAUGAAAAAAACGGUACUAUAUGCGCACCCUGCGCCUUCAUUUGGAGACUUGCACCCACAUAACCUUUUCACAACCUGCUGGUGCUAGCGAUGCGUUGCGUUGCGUUCCUACUAAUGAAUGGGGAUGGCAGAGCGUAGCUAAAACAAAGGGAGGGCGGCAAAAGUACAUUCUAGCGCACAGAAACUUCUUGGCGUUGAUUUGCCAAAACAAAAUAUAAGGUUGGAAAUGAAUACACCAACAAAUAAGCUAAGAAAAAAUUACCGCGUGAAAUAUUUCAAAUACUAUUAAUCAUUACAUUAAUAAAAGACAAAAUGCUUACCUGAUUCGCUUUUCGUGCGCGUCUUUCUAGUUCUAUUCUUUUUUCCAUUUUUUUGGUGCACUAGUCUUACUUUUUCACUUGUAAUUUUCAGCUGCUGUUGCAAUUUGAGCUUUCUAGUUUUACAAUUUCACACUUGAAAUUUAACGUUUAAAAACUUUUGCGUCGCUCUAUUCAAUCACAGCUUCUUAUAAUGCUGGCUAUUUUUUCUUGUUUUCACAAAUAUAGAUUUAAAUGCAAGCACUGUCACACUGUGUAGUCGACUUGAAAAUCUGAAUGUUGUGCUCCUUCGCUGCUACUUUCCUAUAGUUGUUUUCUCCCCCACACACACACACGCUGCGUUAACUGCCAAGACGGGUGUAUGCGCCAAUAAAACAAAAUGCAAAAAAGAAACACCAAAAGCAGUUGUCGACCGCUGUUGCUGUUACUGUAGUCGUUGUUGUUGGUGCAAUAGCUUUGGUUUGCCUUUUCUCCUUUAUUCUCUUCCUUUUCUGCUUGUCGUCGUCGGCUCUAUUUCUUUCACCUCUACGCGCUGCGUUCUAUUGCAAAUUUUGCGUUAACGUAAUAUUUCACUUCUUUUACUUGAACGCACACUUUGCUUACCUGUGUUAAAACUACCGCCGCUAUUCAGCAAAACAGUUUGUAUGAUUCUUUCGCAAGCUAACCCUUUAGGCUAAAUACCGAAAUGUUGCUUGCUUCACAAAUUUCCUGCCACUUAAUAUAGUCGCUCCAGAUUUUUUACUUGUUUUGGAAAAUAACUUCUAUACUAAAAUAAAACUUGAAACUUAUGUGCACUUUCCA